CCAAAUUAUUUUUCAAUUCCCUCCUUAAUAUUCAUAACUAAUUAGUCAUUCUUUUAUUCCCUUUUCAUCCAGGACAAAGAGGAAUCAACAAUGAAUCUCUACUGAAAACCUAGCACCCAAAAUUUAUCUCUCUAUUUCCUGUUCGAUUGGUUAAUAUGAUAUUUCACGUUCUUUCUAUUUUGAUUACUACUCGACAAUGUCAACAGUGCCGCCGACAAAUGCAAAAAAAGCUAUUGUGCUUCUUCCUCUUCGUCGUCGACACUCGUCAGAGUAUAGGAAUCAUUAGGAAUCUAGUUUUCUGAAAUUAAAGAAGCCAAGAGGCCUAUGAGCAGAAGUGCAGUAAAAGAUGGAUUCCACAGAGCUAUUCAAAGAAGAAACAUCUGCUACAAAUCUGAAAGCCCCUUUUAUAACUAAAAGCACUGAAGGAUUGUUGUCAUCGACACAAGAUCUUGUGCGCGAAUUGAUGCUAUUGACGCAGAAUUUGAGCGUUUUAGUGUCAUGACCAAAUUGUCAAUAUUUAAUGUAAAGGUAACUUUUUUCAUGUAUUGAGCAGAUAUCAACUGGAAGCGAAGAUUAUCUUGUGGAUACAAUAGCUUUGCAUGAUGUAAUGUGAAUUCUUAGGCCUGUAUUUGCCAAUCCAGGAAUUUGCAAGGUAUUCCAUGGUGCUGAUAAUGAUGUUAUUUGGCUUCAAAGGGGUUUUCACAUAUAUAUUGUUAAUUUACUUGACACUGCAACGGUAAGGUAUCCUGUUAAUGUAUAUUCUUUUAUCUAAUAAAGUGAAGAUUUUUACUUAAGAAGGGCAAGAAUAUACCUAGCAUAUUUUUCUUGUAUAUGUUUGGCUAUGAUGUUUCUUUAUAAGUUUUAAGCCACUGUUGUUCUUGUUAUAUUUAAAGCUUGUGAUGUGUUGUCUAAACCACAAAGGUCUUUGGCGUAUUUGCUGGAUUUGUACUGUGGUAUUGUCGCAAAUAAAUUAUUACAGGUAUAGAAAGAAUCUUUGUUGGGAUACAUUCUUCUGUUUUUCCAUACUCUUUCUAUUCCUCCCAUGGGUAUCUGUUAGCUAACUUUUCCAUUGGUAAGCUGUGAUUGAUGAAUUUCCUUUUUCUUUUAAAAAAAUCUAUAUAUCUUUAUUAUCAUUUUUCUGGUGGAUUUGGAUUAUGAGUAAUCCUCUUUCCUUGAAAUGUAGUCAGAUUAUGCUACUUGUUCAUUUGAGAAUUGUUGAUCUUUAUUUAGAUUGACUGCAUGCACAAGACAUUUAUUGUGAUGGUGUACUAUGAGGGGCUGAUUUGGUGCAAUAUAGCUCCUUAUCCCGAUGGAUAAAAGGGGUUGCUACACUCUUGUGCACAAUUAAAUCUUCAAAAUAGAUCAUUCGGGCUCUUACAGAUGGUAUAUUUUAGAGUCAAGCUUAUGCAAAAGAUGCUCACUUUGUACCAGAUGGGGCAAGCUUGCUGAAUUGUCCUUGAACUUCUAUUUUUUAACUAGUGAUACUUGUCCUUGUUCUUCUAUUUAAUUCUAAAAUUAUGCAAAGAGUACAUCAGUUAUAAAAAAAAUUGCAUAUUGUUCUAUUGUAAGUCGUGAUGUUAAUAUUACUUUGUAUUUUAAUA